rnacentral:rRNA from 1 species
AUUGAACGCUGGCAGCAUGCCUUACACAUGCAAGUCGAACGGUAACAGGUCUUCGGAUGCUGACGAGUGGCGAACGGGUGAGUAAUGCAUCGGAACGUGCCUAGUAGUGGGGGAUAACUACUCGAAAGAGUGGCUAAUACUGCAUGAGAUCUACGGAUGAAAGCAGGGGAUCGCAAGACCUUGUGCUACUAGAGCGGCCGAUGGCAGAUUAGGUAGUUGGUGGGAUAAAAGCUUACCAAGCCGACGAUCUGUAGCUGGUCUGAGAGGACGAUCAGCCACACUGGGACUGAGACACGGCCCAGACUCCUACGGGAGUCAGCAGUGGGGAAUUUUGGACAAUGGGCGAAAGCCUGAUCCAGCAAUGCCGCGUGCAGGAUGAAGGCCUUCGGGUUGUAAACUGCUUUUGUACGGAACGAAAAGCCCCGGGUUAAUACCCUGGGGUCAUGACGGUACCGUAAGAAUAAGCACCGGCUAACUACGUGCCAGCCGCCGCCGUAA